rnacentral:rRNA from 1 species
ACUCCUACGGGAGGCAGCAGUGGGAAUUUUGGACAAUGGGCGCAAGCCUGAUCCAGCAAUGCCGCGUGCGGGAAGAAGGCCUUCGGGUUGUAAACCGCUUUUGGCAGGAACGAAAAGCUCUGGGCUAAUACCCUGGGGUGAUGACGGUACCUGCAGAAUAAGCACCGGCUAACUACGUGCCAGCAGCCGCGGUAAUACGUAGGGUGCGAGCGUUAAUCGGAAUUACUGGCGUAAAGCGUGCGCAGGCGGUUGUGCAAGACAGGCGUGAAAUCCCCGGCUUAACCUGGGAAUGGCGCUUGUGACUGCACGACUGGAGUGCGGCAGAGGGGAUGGAAUUCCGCGUGUAGCAGUGAAAUGCGUAGAUAUGCGGAGGAACACCGAUGGCGAAGGCAGUCCCCUGGGCCUGCACUGACGCUCAUGCACGAAAGCGUGGGGAGCAAACAGGAUUAGAUACCCUGGUAGCGACUGAU